ensembl:lncRNA
GGUAAUGACAGUACAUCAGAGCUGAAGUGCAGGGCUACGGAAAACAUUCAGACUUCUUUUUUCCCAGCUGGAAUACACAAAGCUUUCUGAAAGGACCCUCUGGGUGGCAUUUCUCUAAUGAACAGUGAACUUGCUUUCCUAAGCUGUGUCAGAUUGUUACAAAGAAGACAAAGGAACUGUGCAUGCCUAGGAAGAAAGAAAAAUGAUGGAGGAAAAGAGCCCAUCUGCUUGUGGUUGUACUCCUCAAACCAGCUCAGCUGUGGUGUUGGGGAAAGAAAAUGUCGGGGGAGGGGGACCUGGAAGAGAUAGCAAGGAGUGCAGAGCAUUCCUGCUGCCUCCACAUGCAUGAGGAAGAGGUGGCCACACCUGGACCCAUCAUCCAGGUAAUGUGUCACAGGAGACCCCAAAUUACAGUUUAGCUCUUUAACCUGUGGCCAAAAAUGUAUGCU